GGCCUACCAUGGUGGUAACGGGUAACGGGGUGUUAGGGCACGACACCGGAGAGGGAGCCUGAGAAACGGCUACCACAUCCAAGGAUGGCAGCAGGCGCGCAAAUUACCCAAUCCCGACACGGGGAGGUAGUGACAAUAAAUAACAAUACGGGGUUCUUUCGGAUCUCGUAAUUGGAAUGAGUACAAUUUAAAUCUCUUAACGAGGAACAAUUGGAGGGCAAGUCUGGUGCCAGCAGCCGCGGUAAUUCCAGCUCCAAUAGCGUAUAUUAAAGUUGUUGCAGUUAAAAAGCUCGUAGUUGAAUUUCGGGAUUAGUACGUUGGUCGUGCCUUCGGUACGUACUGGUGUUACUGAUUUCUACCUUCUGACGAACCAUCAUGUCAUUAAUUUGGUGUGGCGGGGAAUCAGGACUGUUACUUUGAAAAAAUUAGAGUGUUUAAAGCAGGCUCGCGCUUGAAUACAUUAGCAUGGAAUAAUGAAAUAGGACGUUGACCCUAUUUUGUUGGUUUCUAGGAUUGACGUAAUGAUUAAUAGGGAUAGUUGGGGGCAUUAGUAUUCAAUUGUCAGAGGUGAAAUUCUUGGAUUUAUUGAAGACUAACUACUGCGAAAGCAUUUGCCAAGGAUGUUUUCAUUAAUCAAGAACGAAAGUUAGGGGAUCGAAGACGAUCAGAUACCGUCGUAGUCUUAACCAUAAACUAUGCCGACUAGGGAUCGGAUGAUGUUAUUUUUAAUGACUCAUUCGGCGCCUUACG
rnacentral:rRNA from 1 species